CAAGCCCCUCCCGGACCCAGAGCUAAUUUGGAGGUGGGACAUUCCCCGGGGCUGAGGUCAGGCUGGCCUGGGGACAGGUCUCCGUCACCGGGACCCAAGGGCGUGGCGUGGGUGGAGCCCGAGGUCGCGGCUGGCCCCGCCUCCUCUCCGCCCAGGCUGGCUCCGGGGACCUGGCCACGGGGGAGGGGGACGCAUUUCGGGUAGAGGGGACAGCGGUGGGAGCUGUCCCAGCCCCCAGCCCUGUACCCCAGCCUCUCCAGCCCGGUGUCCCCGCCUCUGCCCGCAGCCUCGCUAGCCCCCACCCUCCGGCCUCCCUCCCGGCCUCCGCAGCCCGGGCCUCUGAACCCGCCCCGUCUAAAUCGGGCCCCGGCGCUAAGCCGUCGCUGGCCUCCGGAAUGCGAGGUCGCCGGCGCCAGUCCGCUUUGCGGACCAGCCUCUCUCCCUCCAGGUCACCAAGGGAGGUGCCACUUUACGCUCGAGAUAACGCAAUCCCGCUCCUACUACAAGGCAGCCCUGUGGCCCGCACCAGCCAGGACUGACUGCUCAGCAUCCCCACCCGGUGGCCACACCUGUCAUUCUGCAGCUUGGGAGGCUGAGGCAGGAGGAUUGCAGUGGAGGCCAGCCUCAGCAAUUUGGCCAGACCCUCAGCAACUUAGCAAGAGCUUGUCUCAAAAUAAAAAGUAAAAAGGGGCCCGCGGACGGGGCCCAGUUAGAGCA